GGGGUCGUAGUUCAGUUGGUUAGAAUGCCGGCCUGUCAAGCCGGAGGUCGCGGGUUCGAGUCCCGUCGGCCCCGCCA
rnacentral:tRNA from 1 species